rnacentral:sRNA from 1 species
AGCAGCUGCAGCCCAGUGAGUAGGGGCGUGGGGGUUGCGGGAGGCUAGAGAGGGGUGACCUGCGGCCUCAACGAUCUUCUCGCUCCAUCCCAGAUGAGGAGGCCGACUACCUCGGCGUGCGUAUCCAGCUGCGGAGGGAGCAGGGUGCGGGGGCCACCGGCUUCCUCGAAUGGUGGGUCAUCGAGCUACAGGAGUGCCGGACUGACUGCAACCUGCUGCCCAUGGUCAUUUUCAGUGACAAGGUCAGCCCACCGAGCCUCGGCUUCCUGGCUGGCUACGGGUGAGUGAGUGGCUGGGGGGCACCCCGCAGCUCGGGGGGCUCCGGGCGGCCCCAGGACUCACCAGCUUCCCCCGCAGCAUCAUGGGGCUGUACGUGUCCAUCGUGCUGGUCAUCGGCAAGUUCGUGCGCGGAUUCUUCAGCGAGAUCUCGCACUCCAUUAUGUUCGAGGAGCUGCCGUGCGUGGACCGCAUCCUCAAGCUCUGCCAGGACAUCUUCCUGGUGCGGGAGACUCGGGAGCUGGAGCUGGAGGAGGAGUUGUACGCCAAGCUCAUCUUCCUCUACCGCUCACCGGAGACCAUGAUCAAGUGGACUCGUGAGAAGGAGUAGGAGCUGCUGCUGGCGCCCGAGAGGGAAGGAGCCGGCCUGCUGGGCAGUGUGGCCACAAGGGGCGGCACUCCUCAGGCCGGGGGAGCCACUGCCCCGUCCAAGGCCACCAGCUGUGAUGCAUCCUCCCGGCCUGCCUGAGCCCUGAUGCUGCUGUCA